AUAUUCCCCCAAGUCAGGGAGUGAACGCUGCAUCCAGUCCAUGGACCCCAUGCAGAUCUCGCCAGCUGUCCCAACAGUGUCUUGUCCUUUCCUGGUCCAGGGUCCCUGUCAAGAGCAUCCCAAUCUGUCAUCCAGGCUGGAGUGCAGCAGUGUGAUCCUGGCUCACUGCAACCUUGAUCUCCUGGGCUUUCCUCCUACCUCAGCCUCCCGAAUAGCUGAGACUACAGGUGUGCACAUCCAUGCCCAGCUACUUUUUUUUUGUACAGUCGAGGUCUUGCUAUGUUGCCCAGACUGCUAACUACUUUUAAGUGUACAGUUUAUUCAUAAUGUGUAGCCACCACAAUCCAACUCCAUAACUUUUCAUUUUGUAAAACUUAAACUGUUCCCAUGAAACACUAACUCCCCUCGCAUGCUCCCUCCAGCCCCUGGAAACCACCACUUGUCUAUGAUUUUCACUCUAGGAACCUCCUAUAAAUGGACAGUAUCUGCCCUUCUGUGGCUGGUUUAUCUUA